CAGAAACGUUUCUAACAAAUCACUGUAAAGUAUGAGGUUUUCUGAGAGUUUUCGAGUUUCACCCUGAUUUUCAUGGUUGUAACAUCAGAAAAUAUCACUUCUGGGGGAAAAAAGUGCCUGAUACAUUAGCUCAACCUCUAAGAGAUGACUUUCCUAGACUCCAGCGGAAUGAGAAUGAACCUCAAGAAUCUGAGUACUUUAACUGCAAAUUACAAAUCACGUAAUAAUUAUGACAACAAAAGAGAAAUAACACAU